rnacentral:rRNA from 1 species
GACGAACGCUGGCGGCGUGCUUAACACAUGCAAGUCGAACGGAAAGGCCCUGCUUUUGUGGGGUGCUCGAGUGGCGAACGGGUGAGUAACACGUGAGUAACCUGCCCUUGACUUUGGGAUAACUUCAGGAAACUGGGGCUAAUACCGGAUAGCAGCUCCUGCUGCAUGGUGGGGGUUGGAAAGUUUCGGCGGUUGGGGAUGGACUCGCGGCUUAUCAGCUUGUUGGUGGGGUAGUGGCUUACCAAGGCUUUGACGGGUAGCCGGCCUGAGAGGGUGACCGGCCACAUUGGGACUGAGAUACGGCCCAGACUCCUACGGGAGGCAGCAGUGGGGAAUAUUGCACAAUGGGCGGAAGCCUGAUGCAGCAACGCCGCGUGCGGGAUGACGGCCUUCGGGUUGUAAACCGCUUUCGCCUGUGACGAAGCGUGAGUGACGGUAAUGGGUAAAGAAGUACCGGCUAACUACGUG